GAUGAACGCUGGCGGCGUGCUUAACACAUGCAAGUCGAACGAAGCAUUUGCGACAGAUUUUUUCGGAAUGAAGUUGCUUAUGACUGAGUGGCGGACGGGGGAGUAACGCGGGGGUAACCUGCCUUGUACUGGGGGAUAGCAGCUGGGAACGGCUGGUAGUACCGCAUAAGCGCACAAUGCUGCAUGACAUGGAGUGAAAAACUCCGGAGGUAUAAGAUGCACCCGCGUCUGAUUAGCUAGUGGGUGAGAUAACAGCCCACCAAGGCGAAGAUCAGUAGCCGACAUGAGAGGGUGCCCGGCCACAUUGGGACUGAGACACGGCCCAGACUCCUACGGGAGGCAGCAGUGGGGAAUAUUGCACAAUGGAGGAAACUCUGAUGCCGCGACGCCGCGUGAGUGAAGAAGUAAUUCGUUAUGUAAAGCUCUAUCAGCAGGGAAGAUAGUGACGGUACCUGGCUAAGAAGCUCCGGCUAACUCCGUG
rnacentral:rRNA from 1 species